rnacentral:rRNA from 1 species
UUUCCGKUGAUCCCGCCGGAGGKUACUGCUAUCGGUGUUCGCCUAAGCCAUGCGAGUCAUAUKGUAGCAAUACAUGGCGUACUGCUCAGUAACACGUGGAUAACCUGCCCUUGGGUCCGGCAUAACCCCGGGAAACUGGGGAUAAUUCCGGAUAACGCACAUAUGCUGGAAUGCUUUAUGCGUCAAAUGGAUUCGUCUGCCCAAGGAUGGGUCUGCGGCCUAUCAGGUAGUAGUGGGUGUAAUGUACCUACUAGCCGACAACGGGUACGGGUUGUGAGAGCAAGAGCCCGGAGAUGGAUUCUGAGACAUGAAUCCAGGCCCUACGGGGCGCAGCAGGCGCGAAAACUUUACAAUGCGGGAAACCGUGAUAAGGGGGCACCGAGUGUCAGCAUCAUAUGCUGGCUGUCCAGGUGUGUAAAAUACACCUGUUAGCAAGGGCCGGGCAAGACCGGUGCCAGCCGCCGCGGUAACACCGGCGGCCCGAGUGGUGAUCGUGAUUAUUGGGUCUAAAGGGUCCGUAGCCGGUUUGGUCAGUCCUCCGGGAAAUCUGAUAGCUCAACUAUUAGGCUAUCGGGGGAUACUGCCAGGCUUGGAACCGGGAGAGGUAAGAGGUACUACAGGGGUAGGAGUGAAAUCUUGUAAUCCCUGUGGGACCACCUGUGGCGAAGGCGUCUUACCAGAACGGGUUCGACGGUGAGGGACGAAAGCUGGGGGCACGAACCGGAUUAGAUACCCGGGUAGUCCCAGCCGUAAACGAUGCUCGCUAGGUGUCAGGCAUGGCGCGACCGUGUCUGGUGCCGCAGGGAAGCCGUGAAGCGAGCCACCUGGGAAGUACGGCCGCAAGGCUGAAACUUAAAGGAAUUGGCGGGGGAGCAC